AUGACUCCUCUCUUCUCUUUCCCUACAGCUUCCUGUUUUGGUUUGAUGUUCAGUAUUGGAUUCAUAGACGGAUUCUAUUUUGUUAUUACUACACAAACAGAUCCAAUAAAAUACAUAACUGGACUGGUUGUAAGUUUUGUAGCUCUGCUUGUGCUUGUGCUUUUUAAGGAGCGGUGUGGUCUCUGGGGAGCACGUGCAUGUAAGUGGAGUUGUGUCUGUUGUUCACCUGCUGGGGAGGAGAUAGAGUUCCUCCCAGUCAAGUCAUUGCAGAGCUGCAGUCCUCUGGCACAGGGCUGCUCAGAGAGGGAGAGGGGGGAAGGCAUGACACCAUUCUGCAUGGGCACUGCUAGAGACAGAGAACAAGCAGGAGCAGAGCUGCUCAGUGUGAAUUGUCACUGUGCAGUAAUUUGCCAUUGAAGCCAGGACUGUAGCUCCUGGCAGAGCUCUUUCUGUAUCAUUUAAGAGUCAUUAUUCAGAGUAACUGAAGUGCUCUGACUGACAGGUACAUCCAUAAUGUAAUCUUAGUCAUUUCUAAAACCUCUUAAUUAGACCGAUAUUUAAUUUAAAACAUAACUGUAGCACAAUAGACCUUGAAUGUUUAUAAAGGUCUGAUUCAUUGAUGUAGAGUUUUUUAUGAGCUGAUGAAGAUCAUUAUAACUGUGACACUCUUGUAUUGAACUGUGUGUACGCGAAUCAUGAGCUCUGGCUGAAACAUGAAUCCCAACAUCCAUGUAGAACGUUUGAACUAGACUGAGAUCAUUCAUGAGAAGGGCUUUGUUUGUCUCUGUGUUGUGGAGUAGUGGUGUGUGAAACAUGAAUGAAAAGUCCUAAUAGAUUUUUCCUCUUUCAGCUUUGUGUCACAGACUUGCUCUUGUGGCUUUGCUGACAGUUCUAAUCACAUUCAGCUUGCUUUGGCUGAACGAGGCUCCAGAGAGUGACAGAGGUGGGUAAGAGUGUCUGGGCUCUGGGGGCUCUGGGGGCUCUGGGUGGCUCAGCUGUGUGGACUGGGCCCUGGGCUCUGGGUGGACACUGGACAUCUGUGGUCACCUCUGUCAUUAGCCUGGACUCUGUGAAGGCUGAAGUACAUUUGGCCAAGUGGAGUUUACAGUGUUUACAGUGAGGCUUACCUAAAAUCUGUAUAAAUCAUUUUGUAUUAUAAAACGACCUCACUCCACUAUGUGCCUCAGUGAUGAUAUAAUUUAAUUACAGGGCGACUCGGACGGAUGUGUGAAUCAGCAUUUCUUAUCAUUCUGUUUGGUCUGGAAACAGUUGAACCUCUCAGCAAAAUCUCUGGUAAAGUAUAAUAUAUUGAGCUCUGUGCACUGGUCACUGGUACAGUACAGUGUGUUGAGCUCUGUGCUCUGGUGACUGGUACAGUACAGUGUGUUGAGCUUUGUGUUCUGGUGACUGGUACAGUACUCUGUGCUCUGUUCACUGGUACAGUACAGUGUGUUGAGCUUUGUGUUCUGGUCACUGGUACAGUACAGUGUGUUGAGCUUUGUGUUCUGGUCACUGGUACAGUACAGUGUGUUGA
rnacentral:lncRNA from 1 species